GCGGCAGCUUACCAUGCAGUCGAGCGGAACGAUGGUAGCUUGCUACCAGGCGUCGAGCGGCGGACGGGUGAGUAAUACUUAGGAAUCUACCUAGUAGUGGGGGAUAGCUCGGGGAAACUCGAAUUAAUACCGCAUACGACCUACGGGAGAAAGGGGGCAGUUUACUGCUCUCGCUAUUAGAUGAGCCUAAGUCGGAUUAGCUAGAUGGUGGGGUAAAGGCCUACCAUGGCGACGAUCUGUAGCUGGUCUGAGAGGAUGAUCAGCCACACCGGGACUGAGACACGGCCCGGACUCCUACGGGAGGCAGCAGUGGGGAAUAUUGGACAAUGGGGGAAACCCUGAUCCAGCCAUGCCGCGUGUGUGAAGAAGGCCUUUUGGUUGUAAAGCACUUUAAGCAGUGAAGAAGACUCCGUGGUUAAUACCCACGGACGAUGACAUUAGCUGCAGAAUAAGCACCGGCUAACUCUGUGCCAGCAGCCGCGGUAA
rnacentral:rRNA from 1 species